rnacentral:tRNA from 1 species
GUCCCCGUAGCUCAGCGGAUAGAGCGUUGGCCUCCGGAGCCAGAGACGUGGGUUCGAUUCCCGCCGGGGACGCCU